rnacentral:rRNA from 1 species
CCAGACUCCUACGGGAGGCAGCAGUGGGGAAUAUUGCACAAUGGGGGAAACCCUGAUGCAGCAACGCCGCGUGAGUGAAGAAGUAUUUCGGUAUGUAAAGCUCUAUCAGCAGGGAAGAAGAUGACGGUACCUGAGUAAGAAGCCCCGGCUAACUACGUGCAAGCAGCCGCGGUAAUACGUAGGGGGCAAGCGUUAUCCGGAUUUACUGGGUGUAAAGGGAGCGUAGACGGUGAGACAAGUCUGAAGUGAAAGCCCGGGGCUCAACCCCCGGACUGCUUUGGAAACUGCCUGACUUGAGUGCUGGAGAGGCAAGCGGAAUUCCUAGUGUAGCGGUGAAAUGCGUAGAUAUUAGGAAGAACACCAGUGGCGAAGGCGGCUUGCUGGACAGUAACUGACGUUGAGGCUCGAAAGCGUGGGGAGCAAACAGGAUUAGAUACCCUUGUAG